rnacentral:rRNA from 1 species
GAUGAACGCUGGCGGCGUGCUUAACACAUGCAAGUCGAACGAAGCACUUUAUUUGAUUUCCUUCGGGACUGAUUAUUUUGUGACUGAGUGGCGGACGGGUGAGUAACGCGUGGGUAACCUGCCUUGUACAGGGGGAUAACAGUUGGAAACGGCUGCUAAUACCGCAUAAGCGCACAGCAUCGCAUGAUGCAGUGUGAAAAACUCCGGUGGUGUAAGAUGGACCCGCGUUGGAUUAGCUAGUUGGUGAGGUAACGGCCCACCAAGGCGACGAUCCAUAGCCGACCUGAGAGGGUGACCGGCCACAUUGGGACUGAGACACGGCCCAAACUCCUACGGGAGGCAGCAGUGGGGAAUAUUGCACAAUGGGCGAAAGCCUGAUGCAGCGACGCCGCGUGAGCGAAGAAGUAUUUCGGUAUGUAAAGCUCUAUCAGCAGGGAAGAUAAUGACGGUACCUGACGAAGAAGCACCGGCUAAAUACGUG